UUACGGGUGGCAGCAGUGGGGAAUAUUGCACAAUGGGGGAAACCCUGAUGCAGCAACGCCGCGUGGAGGAUGACGCAUUUCGGUGUGUAAACUCCUUUUAUAUAGGAAGAUAAUGACGGUACUAUAUGAAUAAGCACCGGCUAACUCCGUGCCAGCAGCCGCGGUAAUACGGAGGGUGCAAGCGUUACUCGGAAUCACUGGGCGUAAAGCGCGCGCAGGCGGCCUUUUAAGUUGGAUGUGAAAGCCUAUGGCUUAACCAUAGAACUGCAUCCAAAACUAUCAGGCUAGAGUCUGGGAGGGGAAGAUGGAAUUAGUUGUGUAGGGGUAAAAUCCGUAGAGAUAACUAGGAAUACCAAAAGCGAAGGCGAUCUUCUGGAACAGUACUGACGCUGAGGCGCGAAAGCGUGGGGAGCAAACACGAUUAGAUACCCUGGUAGUC
rnacentral:rRNA from 1 species